AGCAGCAGCCGCGGUAAAACGUAGGUCCCGAGCGUUGUCCGGAUUUAUUGGGCGUAAAGCGAGCGCAGGCGGUUAGAAAAGUCUGAAGUGAAAGGCAGUGGCUCAACCAUUGUAGGCUUUGGAAACUGUUUAACUUGAGUGCAGAAGGGGAGAGUGGAAUUCCAUGUGUAGCGGUGAAAUGCGUAGAUAUAUGGAGGAACACCGGUGGCGAAAGCGGCUCUCUGGUCUGUAACUGACGCUGAGGCUCGAAAGCGUGGGGAGCGAACAGGAUUAGAUACCCCAGUAGUCCCUGUCUCUUAUACA
rnacentral:rRNA from 1 species